rnacentral:lncRNA from 1 species
CAGAAAUCUCCUUCUUUAGGAUGUUCUAAUGGGUUUUACAUCUAAUGCCCUUUCAGUUUACUUGUCUAACUAGAUAAAAGUUUUGAUAGAAAUUUUAAUUUGUAAAGUUGCUGAUGGCUCAGAAAAGUAUGGAGAAUGUAGUAUCAUCCAUUUUAUGCAUUUCUUUUUCUUCAGCCAUUACUAUUGUAAGGAUUCUACAAAAAGAGGAAUUUUGUUUGUUCCAAGAGGUCAUCUGCUUCUUCUCCUUAUUCCUCAUCUGAAAUGAAUGAUGUCAGAAUCCAGAGAUGUAAGAUGAAUUUUCCUAGCCAAUUUCCAAUCUGAAAGGCUCCAAAAUAGAACAGCAAUAUUUGACUCCAUCUAAACUCCAUUCCACAGCUUCAGCAGAGAGGCCCAGUCCUGCAAUUUUAGCCCUCUGGCCUCCAAUGGAAGUUUUACCUGGAUAAGUGGAAUAAAAACAGGACCAUAGGUAUCUACUUUAUGAGCAGAGAAUAGCAGGAGGAAAAUGAAGUAUAACUGAGACAAGCACAAAAACCACUAAUGGCUAUAGAUUCCAUGCCAUCAGAAAAAAAAUAUAGGGAGCAGUUUUCCACAGGAACAUCUCGACAGCAGUGGCCAGUAAUGAAAUCGGAAUACAGCAAGGAACAUCCAGAACUCAACACACCAAUGAAGAUGCCUGAUUAUCACUGGCAGACGAGCAAUGAUCUCCAAAUAAAGGGGUGUCUCAAAUCCAGCAAGGGAAAAGAUGUUAAUAAACACUUUGUUGGGCCCAAGACCCCCUUAUUAAAAUGACACUACCCAACCCCCACAACAAGUGAAAUUCAUUCCUGGGAAGGCCAAAGGAGGUUGAUUUGACAAGUUUAUGCCUGAGCUUCCCAGUGCAAAAUCAGUGGUUUCACUCUCAGGGUCAGCGUUGAAGGGUAUUUCCUGUGACACCUGGGAAACAUAGAGGAAAACGAGCCUGUGCACUCCACUUUUGUGGCUCUAUGUAUGUAUUAUUACAUUUAU